GGUUUGAGCUUUAAAAUUGAUAAAGAUUUGAUUUUUUUUGGGUUGCUUGAUGCGUUUGCAACCUGAUUAAGUAAGAAAAGGGGACACAUUUAAUUGUUUUAUGAUUUUUACUUGAGAUUCAAAAGGUUAGAGCAUAAGAUGCAACAUAAUGUUUUAUACAUGUUUCGGUUUGACUAUUUGUUUGUUGUAUGAAAAAAGUUAUUUUGAGGCUAGAAAUGGACUUGCCAUGGAAUUUAUUUCUAUUUUGUGAAUUUUGGAAAAUGUUGGAGUUGAAAUGUGGUUAUUGAAAAUUAAUAGAUUUAAAAUUCAAUUUUCUAGAGUUGUGGGGUUGAAUCGCAACUCUAUGAUUUUUGGAAGUCCAGAAGUUUGCAUAUGAAUUUUUAUGAUUAAUUAGGUAGCCUCUAACCUUAGUGUGCAUUUAUUUAAGCAUUUGGCAGUUUUUGUCUUAAGCAAAUGAUAAGUUUGUAAGUUAGCUUAUAACUUUCUUAUGGUUUGUGAUAGUAUGUUUAUUGAUAAACGUUGCAUCAAAAUUAACGUUUAUGUUCUAAAGUUCCAUUUAUAUCC